CACCUCUCUUGGUUGCACCUGGAGACUUUUCAGUACUCUAUCAGUCUUGACUAUGGGAGGGAGAGUCAAGCAGAGGCCUAUCCAUUCCAUUCCUAGCCUGGGCAGUGGCUAGCAAGUGGAAGGCAAUCUGCUACAAGU